rnacentral:rRNA from 1 species
GACGAUAAGCCCAAGUUAAUAUAAUAUAAACUGAAUUAGUGAUAAUUUAAAAAAUAAUAAAAGUCUAAUUUUUAAAAUCUAAGACUCGCACUUAUCACAUAAAAAAAUGAAAUCAUGAACUAAAACAUGGAUUAGAUACCCACCUAUUCAUGACAUAAACCAAAGUUGGAUAUUACGAAUAAUAGUUUAAAAUUCAAAGAUUUUGGCGGUGUCUUAUAAAACCAGGGGAACCUGUCUCAUAACUCGAUAAUCCACGUAUACUCCCCCUUCUCUAGACCACAGCAUGUGUACUGCCGUUGUAAGCACACCUCUAAAAGAAUAAGUGUGCCACCAUGACUAAUUACAGCUCAUGUACAUCAGGUCAAAGUGCAGCCAAUAAGAAGGUGAUGAUGGGUUACAACCCUAAAAUAGAAUAUCAACUAAGACAUAAAAAAUCUUAUGAAAGUGGACUUGGCUGUAAUCAAUUCCAAGUUAAAGAAAUGAAUAUAACCUAAGACAUGCACACAUCGCCCGUCACUCUACCCUAAAGGCUAG